AGACCCUAACGGGUCCCUAGCCAACUGACGUUGUUAGUGAACAUAGUAUUCACAAAAGAAGCCAAUAACUGUUUGUUAUUGGCUAUUUUUUU
rnacentral:sRNA from 1 species